rnacentral:rRNA from 1 species
UACGUAGGUGGCAAGCGUUGUCCGGAGUUAUUGGGCGUAAAGCGCGCGCAGGCGGUGCGGUAAGUCUCUGGUGAAAGCGCUCGGCUUAACUGGGCGAGGGCCGGGGAGACUGCCACGCUGGAGGGGAGCAGAGGCGAGUGGAAUUCCGGGUGUAGUGGUGAAAUGCGUAGAGAUCCGGAGGAACACCAGUGGCGAAGGCGGCUCGCUGGGCUCUACCUGACGCUGAGACGCGAAAGCGUGGGGAGCAAACAGG